UUGCGGAAGGUUGGUUUGCAAACUUCAUCAGAGAGAGACCCACCUGCUGCCCGCGGGGCCCUGUGAGCCAAUGCGUGAGGGCGCGCGGGCUCGAGUCAGCGAAACGCACGGCGCAGCCGCCACCACCAAACCGACAUGUUGGAGCCAGCGCCGCCGCCUCCUUCCCUGCACCCUCCGACCAGGACUGAGAGGGGGCCGCCACUCCUCCGCCUCAGCGCCCGCCGCCCGCCCCGCCUGGGCCGCAGCCUCUUCCGCCCCAGCCCCGGUCCCAGCCCCUGCCCCAGCCCCAGCCCCGCCGCUCGCCGCCUGCCCGCUCUCCAGGCCCAGCCGGUUCCCCAGGCCCGGCGGGUUCCCCCGCCCCGCUCCUCCGCCCCGCUCCACCUCGGGCCCGCAGCGGCCGCCGCGCGAACAUGGACACCACCAGCGCCUUCGCCCGGGAGCAAAGAGAAGUCCAAGGAGUUAUCACCUUCUCUUUGGAGCCCAAUUCUGAGCUCCACCAACACUGUGCACUGUCAGAGCUACUGAUUACUGCAGGUGAGCAGAGCACUGCUGUGACGUAAAUACAAGGACGUGUGGGUGGGCAGAUACAGGCUUAUGGCCCUCCCAAGUGCAACACAGAGGAAUGCUCUCACUUGCUUGAUGAACUGUUGUCAGGCAUUUAUAGGGGGACCAAGAACAGUCCUGAGACUCAGCAAUGUUUCAUGGGGAAGAGAAAAAAUAAAAUGAGAGCACUUUAUUUGUCACUGUGGGCCUAUAUGUAUGUGAGAGAGAAACAGGGCACAGAAGUGGGUGCUAUAGAUGGAGUCACAGGUCACAGAUUUUCAGCACAGUGUGUUGUCAUCUGCACUGUCUGUGCAAUGCACCAAACAUGAAGUGGUAGAUGGAGAAUGUAUUAGUUAGCCAAAGGGGUACUGAUGCAAAAUACCAGAAAUAUGUUAGGUUUUAUAAAGGAUAUUUAUUUGGGGUAGAAGCUUUCAGUUACCAGGCCAUAAAAUGUAAUUACUACCCUCACCAAAGUCUAUUGCCACGUAUUGGAGCAAGAUGGCUGCUCACAUCUGCACAGGUUCAGGCUCCCUCCUCCUCUUAAGGCCCCAU
rnacentral:lncRNA from 1 species